rnacentral:rRNA from 1 species
GACGGGGACCCGCACAAGCGUGGAUGAUGUGGAUUAAUUCGAUGCAACGCGAAAACCUUACUACCCUUGACAUGUCCGGAAUCCUGCAGAGAUGCGGGAGUGCCCGAAAGGGAAUCGGAACACAGGUGCUGCAUGGCUGUCGUCAGCUCGUGUCGUGAGAUGUUGGGUUAAGUCCCGCAACGAGCGCAACCCUUAUCAUUAGUUGCUACGCAAGGGCACUCUAAUGAGACUGCCGGUGACAAACCGGAGGAAGUGGGGAUGACGUCAAGUCCUCAUGGCCCUUAUGGGUAGGGCUUCACACGUCAUACAAUGGUCGGUACAGAGGGUUGCCAAGCCGCGAGGUGGAGCCAAUCCCAGAAAGCCGAUCGUAGUCCGGAUUGUUCUCUGCAACUCGAGAGCAUGAAGUCGGAAUCGCUAGUAAUCGCGGAUCAGCAUGUCGCGGUGAAUACGUUCCCGGGUCUU